CUCGGACGUCUUCUGUCCACACUGGAGACCCCAUCCCUCAGCCUUUCGCCCUCUCCACCUCCUCGUCCCGCCAUGGGCGUCCACUUGGCUUCCACCUUCCUCCUCCUCCUGGCCGCCCUCCCAGGGCUGAUGGCGGCCGUGCAGAUGGUGGCGUCCGGAGGGGGCCUCCAGACACCCGGGGGGUCCCUCACCCUCCGCUGCAAGGCCUCCGGCUUCGACUUCAGCAGCUUCUGCAUGGAAUGGGUGCGACAGGCCCCCGGGAAGGGGCUCGAGUUCGUCGCGGUUAUUAGCAGCAGUGGUGCUUGGACAGGCUACGCGCCGUCGGUCCAGGGGCGCUUCACCAUCUCCAGGGACAACUCCCAGAGCACGCUCACGCUGCAGAUGAACAGCCUCCGGGACGACGACACGGCCACCUACUACUGCGCGAAAUGUGCUUACGGUGGUUGUGGUGCUGGUUAUGGUGGUGGCACCAGCCCCGGCACCGUGUCCCAACUUCCCUGUGUUGGGUCCCCUCAUCGACCAAUUUUGCCCCAGUCGACCAUUUUUGCCCCAAAUCUCAACCAUUAUCAUCAAACCCUGACCGAUUUCUCACCAGACCUCCAUGGCUUGACCCAACUCUUGACCGUUUGCCACAAACCUUGACCAUUUGCACCAAAUCUUGACCAUUUUAUCCCCAAAUCUCAAAUGACUGGCACCAAACCUCGACUAUUUCUGCCCCAAACCUCCACCCUUCUUGCCCCAAACCUUCAAUGCUCUCCACCAAUAUCUCGACCACUUUUGCUCCAAACCUUGACUAUUUCUCUCAAACCUGAUUACUUUUACCCUAAACCUCAAGGCUUUUCUCCCAAAUAUCGUCCGCUUGCCACAAAUCUCUAUUGUUUGCCCCAAACCGCAACCACUUGGCCCAAAGUUGAGUGGUUUUGCCCCAA